rnacentral:rRNA from 1 species
UGGGGAAUAUUGGACAAUGGACCAAGAGUCUGAUCCAGCAAUUCUGUGUGCACGAUGAAGUUUUUCGGAAUGUAAAGUGCUUUCAGUUGGGAAGAAAGAAAUGACGGUACCAACAGAAGAAGUGACGGCUAAAUACGUGCCAGCAGCCGUGGUAAUACGUAUGUCACGAGCGUUAUCCGGAUUUAUUGGGCGUAAAGCGCGUCUAGGUGGUUAUGUAAGUCUGAUGUGAAAAUGCAGGGCUCAACUCUGUAUUGCGUUGGAAACUGUAUAACUAGAGUACUGGAGAGGUAAGCGGAACUACAAGUGUAGAGGUGAAAUUCGUAGAUAUUUGUAGGAAUGCCGAUGGGGAAGCCAGCUUACUGGACAGAUACUGACGCUGAAGCGCGAAAGCGUGGGUAGCAAACAGGAUUAGAUACCCUAGUAGUCCACGCCGUAAACGAUGAUUACUAGGUGUUGGGGGUCGAACCUCAGCGCCCAAGCAAACGCGAUAAGUAAUCCGCCUGGGGAGUACGUACGCAAGUAU